rnacentral:lncRNA from 1 species
UUUUAACAGGAUGGCUGGCUGGCUGUAUUCACACUUUUCGCUUUGUAAUAAUAUGCAAAUCCACUUGGCGCCCAGUCAAUACCCAAAAGAGUGGAAGGAUUAAAGAUAUUUAUAAGGGCAAAAAAAAAAAAAAGCUCUGCUAACUGGGUCUUUCCAUUUCUCUUUGAGAUCUAAUUUACAUGUCAGUAUUAUUUUAACAUUUGCUACAGAAUCCAGAGCUCUUAAUGAGAUCAGAAUACAACCGACAGCUUCAGCUUUUUGAUUCUGCAGAAUGUGCUAAUUUAUGGAUAGUCUCUUCUAAAUUGAGAAAAAGGGAUUUUCCCUCCUGAUACUGAGAAGCUAUAAAUAUUUUCGUUUACCUCUACCCCCACCUUUUAAAUUUUAUAAAGAAAACAACCCCACUCUCCCCCUCUCAUCCCGUGGCCCGCGAUUUCUCCUGAGUGAGAAAACUAAUAUUAGCUUCAACUUUCAUCCUGAAUCCAGUCACUGCAGUGAUGACCCAGUCUGAAAAGCUUAGAGCAGCGCUGGGGGCUUGGUGUCUGGCUGGGACUGUGUAUUCCUAACUGCAGAGCUUUGUUGAGAUGCAAAUAACCUCCCCCCCACCCCCCACCCUGAAACCCUCCCAAGGAGUAGCGAUUUUA